UACGUAGGGGGCUAGCGUUGUCCGGAAUCAUUGGGCGUAAAGCGCGUGUAGGCGGCCUUGUAAGUCCGUUCUGAAAGCCCGGGGCUCAACCCCGGGAGGCGGAUGGAUACUGCAAGGCUCGAGUCCGGAAGAGGCGAGUGGAAUUCCCGGUGUAGCGGUGAAAUGCGCAGAUAUCGGGAGGAACACCAAUGGCGAAGGCAGCUCGCUGGGACGGUACUGACGCUGGAGACGCGAAAGCGUGGGGAGCAAACAGG
rnacentral:rRNA from 1 species